rnacentral:rRNA from 1 species
UGGGGGAUAUUGCACAAUGGGCGAAAGCCUGAUGCAGCGACGCCGCGUGGGGGAUGAAGGCCUUCGGGUUGUAAACUUCUUUUGCUCUGAACAAGGCAUGCCUUUGGGGUGUGUUGAGUGUAGGGGUUGACUAGCGCCGGCUAACUACGUGCCAGCAGCCGCGGUAAUACGUAGGGCGCGAGCGUUGUCCGGAAUUAUUGGGCGUAAAGGGCUUGUAGGUGGCUGGUUGCGUCUGUCGUGAAAGCUCAUGGCUUAACUGUGGGUUUGCGGUGGGUACGGGCUGGCUUGAGUGCAGUAGGGGAGGCUGGAAUUCCUGGUGUAGCGGUGGAAUGCGCAGAUAUCAGGAGGAAUACCGGUGGCGAAGGCGGGUCUCUGGGCUGUUACUGACGCUGAGGAGCGAAAGCGUGGGGAGCGAACAGG